rnacentral:pre_miRNA from 1 species
AAUAAUUUAAUGUCACAUUAGUAUUUUUAUUCUGAAUUUCAGCAUUUUCAGCUUAAAAACAUAAAAUUCAAAUGAAAAUAUUGAAAUUCAGGAUAAAAUUACUGAUAUGACAUUAAACUAUU